UACGGAGGAUCCGAGCGUUAUCCGGAUUUAUUGGGUUUAAAGGGUGCGUAGGUGGUCUUUUAAGUCAGUGGUGAAAGUUUGCGGCUUAACCGUAAAAUUGCCAUUGAAACUGAAGGACUUGAGUACAAAUGAGGUAGGCGGAAUGUGUUGUGUAGCGGUGAAAUGCAUAGAUAUAACACAGAACACCAAUUGCGAAGGCAGCUUACUGGGAUGUAACUGACACUGAGGCACGAAAGCGUGGGGAUCAAACAGG
rnacentral:rRNA from 1 species